AGGAAAAAGAAACCAACAGGGAUUGCCUUAGUAACGGCGAGUGAAGCGGCAAAGCUCAAUUGAAUUGGUACUGGUGCCCGAGUUGUAAUUUGAAGAUAGUUUUCUGGUGCUGGCCCCCGUCUAUGUUCCUUGGAACAGGACGUCACAGAGGGUGAGAAUCCCGUCUGGCGGGGUGGUCCAGUGCUUUGUAGAUUUCUAUCGACGAGUCGAGUUGUUUGGGAAUGCAGCUCUAAGUGGGUGGUAAAUUCCAUCUAAAGCUAAAUAUUGGCGAGAGACCGAUAGCGAACAAGUACAGUGAUGGAAAGAUGAAAAGAACUUUGAAAAGAGAGUGAAAAAGUACGUGAAAUUGUUGAAAGGGAAGGGUAUUAGAUCAGACUUGGUGUUUUGUGAUUAUCUUCCCUUCUUGGGUUGUGCACUCGCAUUUCACUGGGCCAGCAUCGGUUUGGGUGGCAAGAUAAUGGCUUGGGGAACGUGGCACUGUCUUCGGGCAGUGUGUUUAUAGCCCCUGCUGAUGUUGCCUGCAGACCGAGGACUGCGGCUUCUGCCUAGGAUGCUGGCGUAAUGAUCUAACACCGCCCGUCUCG
rnacentral:rRNA from 1 species